UACAGAGGGGGCAAGCGUUGUUCGGAAUUACUGGGCGUAAAGGGCGCGUAGGCGGCCUGCUAAGUCGAACGUGAAAUCCCCGGGCUCAACCCGGGAACUGCGUCCGAUACUGGCAGGCUUGAAUUCGGGAGAGGGAUGCGGAAUUCCAGGUGUAGCGGUGAAAUGCGUAGAUAUCUGGAGGAAUACCGGUGGCGAAGGCGGCAUCCUGGACCGUACUGACGCUGAGGCGCGAAAGCUAGGGGAGCAAACGGG
rnacentral:rRNA from 1 species